AUUGAACGCUGGCGGCAUGCCUUACACAUGCAAGUCGAACGGUAACGGGCCUUCGGGUGCCGACGAGUGGCGAACGGGUGAGUAAUGUAUCGGAACGUACCUUUCAGUGGGGGAUAACGUAGCGAAAGUUACGCUAAUACCGCAUAUUCUGUGCGCAGGAAAGCAGGGGGAUCGCAAGACCUUGCGCUGAUUGAGCGGCCGAUAUCAGAUUAGCUAGUUGGUGAGGUAAAGGCUCACCAAGGCGACGAUCUGUAGCGGGUCUGAGAGGAUGAUCCGCCACACUGGAACUGAGACACGGUCCAGACUCCUACGGGAGGCAGCAGUGGGGAAUUUUGGACAAUGGGGGCAACCCUGAUCCAGCCAUGCCGCGUGAGUGAAGAAAGGCCUUCGGUUGUAAAGCGUCUUCGUCCGGGAGAAAUACGUAUGGUUAAGUAACCUCGUGUCGGACGUGACGGUACCGGCAGUAAGAAGACGACCGGCCUAACUAACGUGCCAGCACGCCGCGGUAAAACGG
rnacentral:rRNA from 1 species